rnacentral:lncRNA from 1 species
CUAAUAAUGGAGCAAAGUUGACUGCACAAUUUUUCUGUUGCUUCAGUUUUGUCUGGUAAAUAAAAUGCCUGGAAGGACAAAACAAAAAUGUCUAAUGGAAUAUAAUUCAAGAUAAGUAGGAGAAAACCUGAAAACAUCCAGCUGCCUUUGAUGAGUUUAGGUCACUAGGUCCAGAUGAACCACAUCUUCAAGUAUUAAAAGACCUUGAAAAAGUGAUUGCUGAACCACUUUCAGGGAUCUUUGAAGGGCCUCAGAGAAUAAGAGAGGCUUACGAAAUUCUUCACUCAAAGCAUCACUGUCAGAUUGGUCUUGUGGAAAAGAAGCUGCCCUUGUUAGCAAACCAAGUUCAAGAGUUUUGGAACUCAUCCUUGCUGAGAGAGAAAUCAAGUAAAGUCAAGAGGCAUUUAUUAAGCACCAGCUGA